rnacentral:rRNA from 1 species
GGAGAUGAGGUGCUUGCACCUUAUCUUAGCGGCGGACGGGUGAGUAAUGCUUAGGAAUCUGCCUAUUAGUGGGGGACAACAUUCCGAAAGGAAUGCUAAUACCGCAUACGUCCUACGGGAGAAAGCAGGGGAUCUUCGGACCUUGCGCUAAUAGAUGAGCCUAAGUCGGAUUAGCUAGUUGGUGGGGUAAAGGCCUACCAAGGCGACGAUCUGUAGCGGGUCUGAGAGGAUGAUCCGCCACACUGGGACUGAGACACGGCCCAGACUCCUACGGGAGGCAGCAGUGGGGAAUAUUGGACAAUGGGGGGAACCCUGAUCCAGCCAUGCCGCGUGUGUGAAGAAGGCCUUAUGGUUGUAAAGCACUUUAAGCGAGGAGGAGGCUACUGAGACUAAUACUCUUGGAUAGUGGACGUUACUCGCAGAAUAAGCACCGGCUAACUCUGUGCCAGCAGCCGCGGUAAUACAGAGGUGCGAGCGUUAUCGGAUUUCUGGGCGUAAAGCGUGCGUACGCGGCUUUUUAAAUCGGAUGUGAAAUCCCCGAGCUUAACUUGGGAAUUGCAUUC